AUUGAACGCUGGCGGCAGGCCUAACACAUGCAAGUCGAGCGAGCGGCGGACGGGUGAGUAAUGUGUGGGAAACUGCCUGAGGGAGGGGGAUAACUACUGGAAACGGUAGCUAAUAUCGCAUACCAUCAGAUGUGCCCAGAUGGGAUUGGCUAGUAGGUGGGGUAACGGCUCACCUAGGCGACGAUCCCUAGCUGGUCUGAGAGGAUGACCAGCCACACUGGAACUGAGACACGGCCCAGACUCCUACGGGAGGCAGCAGUGGGGAAUAUUGCACAAUGGGCGCAAGCCUGAUGCAGCCAUGCCGCGUGUGUGAAGAAGGCCUUAGGGUUGUAAAGCACUUUCAGCGGGGAGGCGUUACCCGAAGAAGAAGCACCGGCUAACUCCGUGCCAGCAGCCGCGGUAAUUC
rnacentral:rRNA from 1 species